GUGUCAGCAGCCGCGGUAAUACGUAGGGUCCGAGCGUUGUCCGGAUUUAUUGGGCGUAAAGAGCUCGUAGGCGGCUCAGUAAGUCGGAUGUGAAAACUCAGGGCUCAACCCUGAGACGCCAUCCGAUACUGCUGUGGCUUGAGUCUGGUAGGGGAGAACGGAAUUCCAGGUGUAGCGGUGAAAUGCGCAGAUAUCUGGAGGAACACCGAUGGCGAAGGCAGUUCUCUGGGCCAGUACUGACGCUGAGGAGCGAAAGCGUGGGGAGCAAACAGGAUUAGAAACCCCCGUAGUCC
rnacentral:rRNA from 1 species